CUCUCGCUCAAAAAAUCGCAAUCGAAGCUCACACACUGACAGCACCUCGUGUGCUCGUCCACGUACAUACAGCUUUGGGAGAAAGUCCCCGGACACCUUGCACUUGCUGCAAUGCAGCGGAAACGCGCCGCCACAGAAGCAACUUGCGGCUCAUCCCCUCGAGACCUCCAUCCUCCUUCAUCACCCUCCAUCGUCCGCACUCUUGCACGGAAGCGUCAGGGCUGGGAUCGCACCUGUUCUGGAGACACGUCGCUCUCGGGCGGCGGCUCGGCAACGAGAGACGAUGACAUGAGUCUGCUUUCCUGGUCAGCCGGUCUUGCUGCUUUGGCGCUGAAGGGCAGGAGGAGAUGGUGGAUCACUGAUGAGGACGAGUUGGGUUCAAGGUCAAGAGGCGGAGUUCAUCGUCGUGGUCAACAGUUAUGCGAUUGCUCGCGCCUUUCACCUCUCCUCUGAAACUCUUCUUGGUCUGGUGUUGGAUCGCGAGUAACUCGAUGGGGCUUAUUCUUGAUGCGAGA
rnacentral:RNase_MRP_RNA from 2 species